AAAGGAUAACACUGAAAGAUGUG
rnacentral:piRNA from 1 species